rnacentral:rRNA from 1 species
GACGAACGCUGGCGGCGCGCCUAACACAUGCAAGUCGAGCGAUGAAAUUUUAACCGAUCUCUUCGGAGAGAAGAUAAAAUGGAUUAGCGGCGGACGGGUGAGUAACACGUGAGAAACCUGCCUUUCACAAGGGGAUAGCCUCGGGAAACCGGGAUUAAUACCCUAUGACACAUUUCCUUCGCAUGGAAGAAUGUUAAAACUCCGGUGGUGAAAGAUGGUCUCGCGCCUGAUUAGCUAGUUGGUGGGGUAACGGCCCACCAAGGCCAUGAUCAGUAACCGGCCUGAGAGGGUGAACGGUCACAUUGGAACUGAGACACGGUCCAAACUCCUACGGGAGGCAGCAGUGGGGAAUAUUGCACAAUGGAGGAAACUCUGAUGCAGCGACGCCGCGUGAGCGAUGAAGGCUUUCGAGUCGUAAAGCUCUGUCCUAUGGGAAGAUAAUGACGGUACCAUAGGAGGAAGCCCCGGCUAACUACGUG